AGUUCGACCGGGUCGACCGAGCGGGUGACCAUGAGGUAGUUGCGGAUGAGGAUCUCGUGCCGGUUCUC
rfam:Nocardia seriolae N-2927 DNA, contig: contig00060.